UACGUAGGGGGCAAGCGUUGUCCGGAAUUACUGGGCGUAAAGAGCUCGUAGGUGGUUUGUCGCGUUGUUCGUGAAAUCUCACGGCUUAACUGUGAGCGUGCGGGCGAUACGGGCAGACUAGAGUACUGCAGGGGAGACUGGAAUUCCUGGUGUAGCGGUGGAAUGCGCAGAUAUCAGGAGGAACACCGGUGGCGAAGGCGGGUCUCUGGGCCGAGUAACUGACGCUGAGGAGCGAAAGCGUGGGGAGCGAACAGG
rnacentral:rRNA from 1 species